UACGUAGGGUGCAAGCGUUGUCCGGAAUUAUUGGGCGUAAAGAGCUCGUAGGCGGUCUGUCACGUCGGCUGUGAAAACCUGGGGCUCAACCCCGGGCCUGCAGCCGAUACGGGCAGACUAGAAUUCGGUAGGGGAGACUGGAAUUCCUGGUGUAGCGGUGAAAUGCGCAGAUAUCAGGAGGAACACCGGUGGCGAAGGCGGAUCUCUGGGCCAUUACUGACGCUGAGGAGCGAAAGCGUGGGGAGCGAACAGG
rnacentral:rRNA from 1 species